CUCUUAGAAUACUUAGUCAUUUGAAUCUUCAGUAUGGGGAGCAUUCUUUGGGAUAUCGAGGUCUUCCUUGGUCUAGCAGACCCACUCUCAGGAUGGUAGCGGCGUGCGUGUUUCCGGCGGAGGACAUCAACACUGAAAGCCAGCAGCGAGCAUGGAGGAGGGGCCCACUCCCGACCCGGAGUUCGUGGAUGUGGACCAGGGCAUGACGCUGGCCUGCGUGGCCUUCCUCUGCCUCCUCCUGGUGGCCAUGAUCAUCCGCUGUGCCCGGGUCAUCAUGGACCCCUACAGCGCCAUACCGACCUCCACCUGGGAGGAGCAGCAUCUGGACGACUAGGGCACCGGCUGGACAUACCAAGGAACACGUGGUGGUGCGAGGGUGCAGAUUCCCUCAGAGUAACGCGAGCGUGGGUCAAGACAGGCAUACAAAUGGACGCAUACGAACAUACUCGUGUAGGCACGUUUAGGGCCUUGUUUAUGUUACACUAUAAUGAACCCGAGACUCAAGACGCUAGAUUAUAAUGUUGUGUAAACUUGCAGGUCCACAGCUCAUGACGCCACCAUCCGAGGUAGCGUGCACAAGAAUUCCCAUAGAGAAUGCCUGGAGUUUUGCCAGUUUGAGGAGAUUUGUGUGGGAACUGUAUCGAGUGCAUGUGCAGGGCGCACGCGCGUUGCUUUAUUUUCUGGCGAUUGAUGUUCACAAUCCCGCGUGGUACGUCUCGAACAUGCCGGUGUAAAUUCAAACGCUGUGGAAGUCUGUUUAACGUUUUAUUCUCGCUAUUUAACGUUUUAUUCUCGCUAUUUAACGUUUUAUUCUCGCUGUUCUCACAACAUGCCCACAGGGUUAUACACACACAUUCACACAAACAUACACGAGUGGGCGUGAUUAUGCUCCCGAAGAGUUACACUGCCUGACCACACUACCAUUGCCUGGUAUCAGUCAGUUCUUGAGAAGCAGGGUACGUGUGACAUUGGAGAAAGGCAUCCGAUUUUACAGACUGACUCCACCUUCGCCCUGCAGACUGUUUUCUGCACAUGCUUGGUGAGACUGGUGAUGAUGAAGAUGACCAUGAUGAUGAUAAGGAUGUUGAAGAGGAGGACAUUAUUUGGUCCUUUAAGAAUUUUUACAGUUGAUCACAAUUCAUCUUACAAAAGCAUCUCAUGAUUUGUACUUUUUGUAAGGAAUCUGAACAAUGACUUUGUCUACGUAUUGACUUGCUUCUGCUCUGCCUGUUUCAGCCUGUAAAUGAACAAGGCUCUGAGCAUCUUUAUCCAGUUGUCUUAUCUAAUGUGCAAAAGACGACAGCAUGGCAAAGAAGUGGGGAACCUUUACAGCCUAGACACACACACGCACAUGCACACACACAAACAGACACACCCACACACACACACAGACACACCCACACACACACACAGACACACCCACACACAAACAGACACACCCACACACAAACAGAAACACCCACACACACAAUACCAUGGAAACUCCAGAGCAAGUGCUUGUUUCCAAUAACUUGCUGCUCAAAGACCUAUAAUCACCAGCCUCGUCCCCUUCCAUUCAUAAACAACAAGUAUUUAUUGCUGCUGUCCGUCCAUUAGCUUGAGCACAAAACUCCCACGAUGGUCUAGUAUCUUUCUGUUCUGUCAUGUCUCUAGCCAGUGCAUUUAUAAAUAGCAAAAUGAUUGUCUGACUUGCAUGUUAUGAAGUGCCUCAGCUGACACCACAGAAUAGCCAAUUCUGAUGCCAUUUAGCACAGUAUGGCUGAAUUCCAAAUCAACCUCUAAUUACUAUUCGCUAUCCCCUACCCCCUAGACGAUCCUGUCAAUCUCUUGUAUUAGAUAAAUGCAAGCAAUAGGGUGACUGUUCGUCCGAGCCUGUCUGAAGGUAAUAUGAGGCAAUGCAAUCACCAUAGAUUAUGGUUAGUGAUGACUUUCAUCUAAGGGCUGGAGGGUAAGGAACUAGCUAUGGGGGCUGGUUUGGAUUUCAGCAGGUGAUUGACAAACAUUAACCAGCAAUUUAGAAGCAGGUGACCAGAAUGUGCUCCUUUUAACCUGUCUCUAAUAAAAAAAAUAUAACGAAUUACGAAAACCUUAUUUUAAGACGAGUUCAUUGUCUUUGUAAUUAGCUGUAAAUGAAAACCUAACCGAAUCUAAUCUUUCAUGAUCUUG
ensembl:lncRNA